ACCUCCCGGCGACCUCGACCACACCACCGUGCUCUGGAUCCUCGCCGCCGGCACCUCUCCGGCGACCUCCAGCCGGCGGCGUCGCCCCCAUCGGGUCCGCGCUACCGAGGCGCACCCGUAGCCUCCUCCUCGCUACCUGGAACCCAUCGAGGCACCCGCGCGCGUCGACGCCGCCCCGCGGUGAUCGCCUUUGUCUGGAACGCGAGCGGCAUCGUCCCCGCGUCGAACAUCUCUUGCGCGUGCACGCUUGGUCUGCCAGCGUGGCCGCCACGUCGUCUCCUGGGCCCCAUCCGUCAGCCUCUCCGGCUAGCUCAGCCCCCGCAUUUGCUUCUUCUCGGAUAGGAUCGCGAAGUGGUGAUGUGAGAUACGACGAGUUCUCCGACAAGUUCUUCUGCAGCUUUUCAC